AUUGAACGCUGGCGGCAGGCCUAACACAUGCAAGUCGAACGAGUGGCGGACGGGUGAGUAAUGUCUGGGAACCUGCCUGAUGGAGGGGGAUAACUACUGGAAACGGUAGCUAAUACCGCAUACCAUCGGAUGUGCCCAGAUGGGCUUAGCUGGAAGGGGGGGUAAAGGCUAACCUAGGCGACGAUCCCUAGCUGGUCUGAGAGGAUGACCGACAAAACUGGAACUGAGACACGCUCAGGAUUCCUACGGGAGGAAGCAGUGGGGAAUAUUGCACAAUGGGCGCAAGCCGGAUGCAACAAGGCCGAGUGUAUGAAGAAGGCCGUGGGGUUGUAAAGUACUUUCAGCGGGGAGGCGUUACCCGCAGAAGAAGCACCGGCUAACUCCGUGCCAGCAGCCGCGGUAAUAC
rnacentral:rRNA from 1 species